UACGGGGGGAGCAAGCGUUGUUCGGAUUUACUGGGCGUAAAGGGCGCGUAGGCGGCGCGGGUAGUCAUCGGUGAAAGUUCAGGGCUCAACUCUGAAUCGGCCGGUGAUACUCCCGUGCUCGAGCACUGUAGAGGCAGGUGGAAUUCCGGGUGUAGCGGUGGAAUGCGUAGAGAUCCGGAAGAACACCGGUGGCGAAGGCGGCCUGCUGGGCAGUAGCUGACGCUGAUGCGCGACAGCGUGGGGAGCAAACAGG
rnacentral:rRNA from 1 species